AGCACCCACUUUUCCUAUUGAACAAAAAUAAGAAUUAUUAGUAGGAUAAUUCAUCCCAUAGAAGGUCCUUAUGAACUCAAUACAGUACACUCCUGAAGGAAAGAUUAAAUGUGUAAUCAAUAUGCCAUUAAGCGAGUUCCUAAACAAUAUAUUGGUAUAAACAAUGCAGAGUAGUUUAAAAUUUACCUUAAUUAGUCUGACAAACAAAUUUAUGAGCAAACUCAUAACUAGGGCAUGACACGAAGGGUAUAUGACUUUCAUGUGUGCAUGCAG
rnacentral:misc_RNA from 1 species